UUUGAUGCAAGCUAAGCUUCCACUGAAGCACUUUCUUUUCAAAAUCACCAUUAUCAGCUGGCAUGGCAUCACUAUUAUCAUGUGAAUUACUGGUACUAGUUGCACACUCUAUAGGUUGCCCAUCAUCAGAUGCUAUGGGUUGCCCAUCAUCAGAUGAUAUGGGUUUCCCAUCAUCAGAUGCUAUAGGUUGCCCAUCAUCAGAUGUUAUAGGUUGCCCAUCAUCAGAGACUAUAGCACUAGUGAUGAAUUUUCCACUGCCGAUGACAGGCACUAUCUUUUGACAUUCAGAUUUCCAUGCAGCA
rnacentral:lncRNA from 1 species